rnacentral:rRNA from 1 species
UAUCAAUAAGCGGAGGAAAAGAAACCAACAGGGAUUGCCCCAGUAACGGCGAGUGAAGCGGCAACAGCUCAAAUUUGAAAUCUGGCCCCCAGGGCCCGAGUUGUAAUUUGCAGAGGAUGCUUUUGGCGAGGUGCCUUCCGAGUUCCCUGGAACGGGACGCCAUAGAGGGUGAGAGCCCCGUCUGGUUGGACGCCGAGCCUCUGUAAAGCUCCUUCGACGAGUCGAGUAGUUUGGGAAUGCUGCUCUAAAUGGGAGGUAUAUGUCUUCUAAAGCUAAAUAUUGGCCAGAGACCGAUAGCGCACAAGUAGAGUGAUCGAAAGAUGAAAAGCACUUUGAAAAGAGAGUUAAAUAGUACGUGAAAUUGUUGAAAGGGAAGCGCUCGUGACCAGACUUGGGCCCGGUGAAUCAUCCAGCGUUCUCGCUGGUGCACUUUGCCGGUGCCCAGGCCAGCAUCAGUUCGCCCCGGGGGAUAAAGGCUCUGGGAAUGUGGCUCCCUAGGGAGUGUUAUAGCCCAUUGCACAAUACCCUGUGGCGGACUGAGGUUCGCGCAUCUUGCAAGGAUGCUGGCGUAAUGGUCAUCAGCGACCCGUCUUGAAACACGGACCAAGGAGUCGUCUUCGUAUGCGAGUGUUCGGGUGUCAAACCCCUACGCGUAAUGAAAGUGAACGCAGGUGAGAGCUUCGGCGCAUCAUCGACCGAUCCUGAUGUUCUCGGAUGGAUUUGAGUAAGAGCAUACGGGGCCGGACCCGAAAGAAGGUGAACUAUGCCUGUAUAGGGUGAAGCCAGAGGAAACUCUGGUGGAGGCUCGCAGCGGUUCUGACGUGCAAAUCGAUCGUCAAAUAUGGGCAUGGGGGCGAAAGACUAAUCGAACCUUCUAGUAGCUGGUUUC